rnacentral:sRNA from 1 species
UUUUUUUUGUACUCCAAAUUUUGACCUUAAUGUACUUUUUCAGGCCUUAUGUGAUCUUUGCUAUAUUACGAGGCAAAAAUUAUAUGUUCGGACAUUGUUUC